rnacentral:rRNA from 1 species
GACGUAGGGGGCCAGCGUUGCUCGGAAUUACUGGGUGUAAAGGGUUCGUAGGCGGUGUGGCAAGUCGGGAGUGAAAUCUCUGGGCUCAACCCAGAGUCUGCUUCCGAAACUGCUGUGCUUGAGUGUGGGAGAGGCGCGUGGAAUUGCAGGUGUAGCGGUGAAAUGCGUAGAUAUCUGGAGGAACACCGGUGGCGAAGGCGGCAUCCUGGACCGGCAUUGACGCUGAGGCGCGAAAGCCAGGGGAGCAAACGGG